rnacentral:rRNA from 2 species
UGGGGAAUAUUGGGCAAUGGGGGAAACCCUGACCCAGCAACGCCGCGUGAAGGAAGAAGGCUUUCGGGUUGUAAACUUCUUUUAAGAGGGACGAACACAAUGACGGUACCUCUUGAAUAAGCCACGGCUAACUACGUGCCAGCAGCCGCGGUAAUACGUAGGUGGCGAGCGUUAUCCGGAUUUACUGGGUGUAAAGGGCGCGUAGGCGGGUCUGCAAGUCAGAUGUGAAAUACCGGGGCUUAACCCCGGGGCUGCAUUUGAAACUGCAGGUCUUGAGUGAUGGAGAGGCAAGCGGAAUUCCUAGUGUAGCGGUGAAAUGCGUAGAUAUUAGGAGGAACACCAGUGGCGAAGGCGGCUUGCUGGACAUUAACUGACGCUGAGGCGCGAAAGCGUGGGGAGCAAACAGG